GUCAAACAAGGAUAAAGGCGGGGUUUCCUGCUGGGGGAGCCCUCCAAAGCCAGCAGCCUUUCCUCUGAGCCUCUGUAAGAUGCUCCUCCAUGUCCCCUGACAUUCUCUGCGCCCUUCACUUGAAUUAGGUCUAGUGUUUCCUGCAGCGGGGCACCUGCUUGGAAGAGAGCUCGAGAAUGAUUAAAACGCUGCCCGCAGGCUGCAGGGAGAGGCUCAGGCUGAAGCCCUGACUCUGGAUGGGUGCAGAGGGCCCCCUCAGGGGCCUCUGGGCUGUCAAGGAUCUAGUCCAAAUCUUCUUGAUGAGUUUCACGCGCUCGAGGGCGCGCGCGGAGAGCUCCAGGAAGGAGCUGGCGGUCUGCACUGAAGGACCAAGGGCACGCGGGUCCAAAAGCACCCAGCUUGGUUCUUCUCCCGGGCCAUGGAGGCUUCCACAGCACCCAGGGUCUUGCCUCACUCAUCAUGGGACGGCGCCUGCAGGUUCUGGAAGAGGGGCCUGUGCCACACUGGUUUGGCAUCUUGCAGGAAUGCUGGGCGCCCUGGCACUUCUCGGCUGGUCGGUGGACAUGCCCACUCCUCCCAAGGCACCGAGUCACGGGGCAAAUAGAGGCGCUGGGAGAGACCGCCUUUCUGUACUUGGUGGGAGACUUGUUUACCAGAAGCACCUGAGUUUUAUAUCUUAA
rnacentral:lncRNA from 1 species